AUUGAACGCUGGCGGCAUGCCUUACACAUGCAAGUCGAACGGCAGCACGGGUGCUUGCACCUGGUGGCGAGUGGCGAACGGGUGAGUAAUACAUCGGAACAUGUCCUGUAGUUGGGGAUAGCCCGUCGAAAGCCGGAUUAAUACCGCAUACGAUCUACGGAUGAAAGCGGGGGACCUUCGGGCCUCGCGCUAUAGGGUUUUCCGAUGGCUGAUUAGCUAGUUGGUUGGGUAAAGGCCUACCAAGGCGACGAUCAGUAGCUGGUCUGAGAGGACGACCAGCAACACUGGGACUGAGACACGGCACAGACUCCUACGGGAGGCAGCAGUGGGGAAUUUUGGACAAAGGGCGAAAGCCUGAUCCAGCAAUGCCGCGUGUGUGAAGAAGGCCUUCGGGUUGUAAAGCACUUUUGUCCGGAAAGAAAUCCUUGGCCCUAAUACGGUCGGGGGAUGACGGUACCGGAAGAAUAAGCACCGGCUAACUACGUG
rnacentral:rRNA from 1 species